UAGAUUGUUACUUGGUGUCAUCGUUAUCCCAAAGGACAUGACAGACUCUGAAGACCCCCUAUGGGAUUGACAUGUAAAAUAAUCUUGUAUUUAACUUAAAUAAAAAAUGGAGAAAAAGAAAAAAAGCCGUAAUGGAUGCGCAAAGGGACCUUUAUAGUAAAAACUGAGAAAAAAAUAAUACAGAAGAUAAAAUUUUAGAGAGAGAGAGAGAGAGAGAAGCUCUGACACAUUAUAAAGCAAGGAAGAUGCCAUUGAGUUUGUUUUCAGAGUGGUUUGCUUUCCCAGUGAGACUCCCUUGGAGGAAACUGAAUUUCCAUGUGUGAGUGGUUAUCAGUUAAAGAUAGCUUCUGUGUUACGGAACACGGUUCCAUUUCUCCUUCCAGCUCCACACUAUCUUGUACAGCCCCUUGCUGGCCCGCCCUGUGCUUGCUCAGUCGCUUUGGGUUCCCGUGAGUAUCGGUCCUGCUGCAUUUAUAAGUCCUUGUUUCAUUUGUGUUCCCUGUGGUUGCCCUCCCUUUAAAAAUAAUACAGUCAUUGUGUAAGAUCGUUUGACCAUUGGCAUUUCUUAUUUUUUGUUCUUUCUUUUCCUCUUUUGUUUUUCUUUCUUGUUUGUUUGUUGUUUUUCGAGUCUAUCUUUGAGACAAGGCCUCUGGUAACCCAGGCUGGCCUUGAACUCUAUAAAACAAAGACUGAGCUUUACCUCCAAGGCAUUGGAUCACCGGCAUAUGGCAGCACACUUGCUUUUACUAUAUAUUUUGAUGGAUCCAUAUUAGUUUGUAACUUGGCUCUUCUUAGGUGGUUUUUUUAUACCAGAAGGUAUGGGCUUCUUAGAUGUCAGCUCCGUGACUUUCGUUGUCACUCUUCAGCUCAGGUGAACGUAGCUGAUUACUUACUCCUGACAUUUUAGGGUUACCAUUGCUUUCCAAGUCUGGACCUUGGUAACCAUUCAUUAUUUCAAACCUCAUACAGGUUCCCCGUGACUAUGGGUUGCACCCUCUUACCCAGGACUCUGGUUUUGAAGUCCCAGAUGCCUUGUCUGACAUGAACAACCAUUCUAUAAUAUUUUGCUGUUUGGGGAUUUUCCCCUAGAGACUAAAAUCAGAUGUUGUCUUGGUUAUGAUUUGUCAUAUGUUUCUGAUUUUGAUUUUUUUUUUUUUGGUUUUUCAAGAUAGGGUUUCUCUGUGUAGUUUUGGAGCCUGUCUUGGAACUUGAUUUGUAGACCAGGCUGGCCUCAAAACUCAGAGAUCUGCCUCCUGAGUGCUGGGAUUAAAGGGGUGCACUUUAAUUUUUUUCAAUUUUUAAUUUGUAUUUUUUAAUACAGAGUCUAUAUUGCCCUGAUGACCUGAAACUCCAUGCAUAGACAAGACUGACCUUGAAGUCAUAGAGAUAAAUAUGUUGAAAACAGAAGAAAGGGACAUGUGGAAAUCAAAAAGAGAUGUUCAAAAGGUGAAGAAAGACAAUAGUCGGGGCAGAUGGAAGGCUGAACUUACGGGUCACAUUAUCAACGUGUGCUGAGUACAACAAAAAGCUGAAUGGCCACUGACGUCAUGUAAUAAAUCAAUGCCUUGUUCAACCAUUAUCAGAGAAGAUUCCUCCUUCAGCUGAUGGGAACAAAUAUAGAAACUGGACCCAGAUAGGACACAUAGUUUGAGAGACCUGGGAACAUUCAACACUAAUGGGAUGUCUCCACAAAUCCUCCCCACAGAGUUUAUGGUACCCCAUGGAAGAGAAGGCAGAAAGAGUGUAAGAGCCAGAGAAGAUGGAGGUUAUCAAGAAAACAAGGCCCUCAAAAUCAGCAUGGGCAAAGCUCAUAUGAACUCACAGACACUGAGGCAGCAUGCAAAAGGUGUGCAGGGAUCUGCACCCAGUCCUGUGGCUUCCAGUUUAGUGUUUUUAUGGGAUCCCUGAAUAUGCAAACGAACAACAGGAAGUAGUCUGUCUCACUGGACAUGGCUUGAGCAUAUAUGAGACCUCAAAGUCUACCUCCACAGUGACACACUUCUUCCAACAAGACCAUACCUUCUAAUAGUGCCACUCCCUUUGGGGGCCACUUUCUUUCAAAUCACCAUAGAAGGAGAGAUGAAAGCAUUGAAAAGAAGCAGCUGACACUUGAGUCCAACCUGGAGCCAAAUGCCAAGAGAUGAAGAGUGCUAGUUUUCCUUCAGAAACCUCAGUCUCAAUGUGUCCUAGCUAAUGGUUCCUAACAGAAAAUGGGUGAAGACUGUUCCAUUGUGUGAUGUACCAUAUCGUCACUAGUCUCUCAUCAGUUGAUUGACAUCUAGGCUGUUUCCAUUUCCUGGCUAUUACAAAUACAGCUGUAGUAAACACAGAUAAACAGGGAUCUCUAUAGUAAGAUAUUCAGUCCUUUGGGAAUAUGCCCAGGUAUAAUAUGUCAGAUCUGUUUUAGCUUCGUGAGACACAUCCAAACUGAUAUCCACAGUGACCACACAAGUUUGCAUUCUCCUGCUUGCAGAAGUUAGUUUUGAAUCUUAGCAUAUGUGUGUUUCAUUUGGAACAUCCACAGAGAUCAGGGAGUGAGAGCCUGUCUCUUUCCAAGGAGACAGAAUGGGUGGCAUAAAGGGUCAAAGUGAGUACUGGAACAGGAUGGGUUAAGAGGGGUGGGGUGGUAGGACAGGGAAGACAGAACAGUAUGGAGAAAGAAUUAGAGUUGUUAGGGACAUCACAUCAGUGACAAAAAGCCUAAUGGCUCUAGUUUUGCUUACAGUUGCUAGGAUAGGAUGGAUACAGUAUGAAAGACAUACAUACAGAUGCAUGCCCUUUUCUGUUCUUUGUGUUGACUUUUGCACUGUUCUCUUGAGUCUGUCAUACAGUUUUGUAUCUGAGAUCAGCCAGGAAAAUAGCCUUGCUACAAGUCUUAAAGUAUUAAGAGAAAAACAAGUCUUAUGAGAAAAGUAUUAAGAGGAAAAGUGUAAGAAUUCACAUUCACACAAAUAUAAGAAAAACUGGAAAAAUUAAGUUGUUUAAUAGGGGAGAAAUACCAGUACCAUAGUUACCUCACUCAUGUAGUGUACCUGGAAGAGGGUGGGGCCUCCUCCAUCAACUUCUGGAGGGUUGGUAGAAAGUGUUGCCUAUGAGCAACCUUCUGCCUCUAUGGCACAGAACCAAGCAUGCAGGAAGGGCAUCAGGCUGCUGUGGCCAGGCCAGGCUUCCAACAGGGAAGAGAAAGAAGGCAGAUGAGAAAUAGAGCAGUAGGCAGAGACUGGAAACUGCUAGAAACUGGGAGCUGCUGGAUAAGCCCCGGCUUCCCACUUGUCUGUGACCACUGAAAUCCUCUGAGGGUGGUUACUUCAUGGGCUCCUGCUAUGCUCCCUUGCACACACCACAUGCUUUGCUCUUUCACCAACUCUGACCUGCACACUGGCACUCACUCUAGUUGGGAGCAGAGAAGCCUAAUUAACUAAGCAUCACUGAGCAGAAAAAUAAGAAUGACAUCAUUGAUAGAAUCAAUCCCUCUUUUUCCUCCCUCUCUCUCUUUUCCUUCCUUCCUUCUUUCCUUCUUUCCUUCCUUCUUUCCUUCUUUCUUUCCUUCCUUCCUUCCUUCCCUCCUUCCUUCCUUCCUUCCUUCCUUCCUUCCUUCCUUCCUUCCUUCCUUCCUUCCUUCCUUCCUUCCCAUUUUCUUUAUUCUUUCCCCUUUCCUUUUUGCAGUUCUAUGGGUGAACCAAGACUGUGUGCAUGCUGGGUAAGUAAUCUACCAUAGACCCCCACACCCAGCCUCAGUCCAGAUAACAUCUAGUGAAGUGUUAGUAGCAAAUGAAACCAAGAUAUCCUCUGUACCCUUAGCAAAUUUUUAUGUUGUUUUUUUGUGUGUUGCUAUUAACUAUAGAAAAUUUGAUGUGUUUCUUAUGAUUUAUUCAUCUGUAAAAUUUAUGUUUUGUAGUCUAACAUAUCUUUCUUUGGGUUUUGUACUUUAUAUGCUUUGCUCACACCUCAGUUAGUAGUUUAUGUUCCUGUAUGAUACGGAGAAUGAUCUAAUAGCUGUCCUUUUGGUUUUGAAUGAGUUCAUUAAGUGCAUAGCAAGCAAAAUUGAAAACACAAAUGGUGAGUACCAAAUAGAGAAAAUGUUCAAAUAAACAACAAAAUAUCAUCAAAGUGAGAAUUCACAGCAGCCAACAGAAAUAGCCAAUUGAAGAAGCCAGCAAGAGCCCCUUAUGUAGAGUCCCGGAUGGGGCAGAGUGUUGCCUUCAAUGAGGCUCCCAAGGAAAAGAACAGGUAGCAGCAGAAGAUAGAUAACAGCAUCAGGUGUGGGUAUUGCGUUCAUCCCUGAGAUGACUGGGAAGAGGCAAACAGAGCACUCUCCACGCAUGAGCUUCUGGCUUCUCUCCCACCAAAGGCAUUUUUUAAAGCAUGGGAUAAACUAAUAGCACAUCCUCUUAGAAAUGAUUUACCUUCUAGCUGUUCUCGUAGACACAAUGUUUUAAACUCUUAGCUGCUUGCUGCUUUCCUUUUUCUUACUACAGAUUUACGAGGGAAGCCUGCCUCAAGACAGGGAGUUUUGAGGACAUUUGGAAAAAAAACACAUGGGUCUGAAAUGGUGGAGGCAACCCCACUUGCAGAGCCAGUUCCUCCGUUAGCUGAAACAGCACAUGAAAACGCACCAAUAUGAAGCACGUUGCAUCUCAUUAUAUUCCUCUCUGCUAUGUGCACAGGAGAUGCUUUGGUGUGUUAUGUUGCUGACACAUUUCAAGGCCAAGAUAUUCAUUCUCCCAGCUUUGGGAAUGUUUAUUGUUGGCAACUUGCAACUGUGUCCCUGCCUGAGAAUUGCUUUCAGCUGCAGAAAACGGCCUUGCCCUUGUCACCAGGGAAUCACACCUCCAGUAGCUGUUUGAUGUAGGAGUACAGAGGCCUGGCCCAUUGGCUUCAAUUGGGAGUAAUUCUGUAGGGGCAUCCACACCUGAAAAAUCUCAGGGGGACUGGAUUUGUUGGUUGUUGGAGCUGUGCUCUGCUUCACUUGCACCUUCUUCCCAUGACUGUUUCAGUUAUAGACAUAGUGCCCUCUAAAUAUCAGAUGCACACAAAUGUCAGGUAGGUUAAGAAAAAUGGCCUUCCCCGUAGGCCUGUUUUUAUGAUUAGCCUCCAUGUUAUCAGACAGAAAAGACAAUUCCCAUUUUCCCAUGUGCUAGCUCACAUCUAGCUAAUACUCAAUGGGUGUUUCCAUUGGCUUUGUCUUCAUGAUAUAUUACUCUCUCAAUAGCUUUUGAGAUAGGUAACCCCAUAUUUCAGUGAUGUUAAGAUCAGUUAAUUAUGUAACACUUCAUCAAUUUGUACCAGCUAUUAGGGAUGAAAAAGAAAUGAUUAUAUAAGCACAGCAUAACAACAUUCUUAUUAUGGUGGUUUUUUAAUCUGUGAUUCUUUUUUUUGAUCAAACACUUAUCAAUUGACAAUGUAAGAAAAUCUUCUGAAUGUGUUUGCCUCCUAGCAUUUAGAAAUAUUCAUUUCCAUUCAUAAUUCAGUCUCAGGACUUUUAUUAAUUUUCUUCUUUCUGAUUACUACCCAAACUCAAAGUAUUAUUUGAUCUUUUAAAUUAUGUGUAAUGCUUUAUAGGCAAAAUAAAGACAAUAGUUAUUUCUCUGCCUUGAGUUCUGGUCAAAACUCUAUGUAAAUUAUUUAUUAUGUUUUUAUAUACAAAUUUCAAAGAUGUAUCUAAACUAUAAGCAGUUGUUGUAUUUUUCUACACUGAUACAAUGUGUUCACCAUUUGAAGCCAUGCUUCCCUGAAAUUUGAACACUUAGGAAAAGUCAACAGGAAGUUGAACAAAAUGACCAAGGACAGUGAUUGCUCUUCACAAUGUUUUACUCAGCCACAACUACCCAUCUAAUCCUGGGCAAUCACACUGGGUACCUUAAGAUUUCUUUCCAUUUUGUGUUUCCUAUAGUUGCCUUUCCUGGCGCCUGUUUGUCACACUCCUCCCCUCCCUGUGCACAGGCAUGUCUCAUUUCAGUGGGGGAUUAUUGUGUAACUAUUUUGAGGACAUUUAAAAUAAGGAUUAGGAAUUGACAUUGAAGUUAAAUCAUUUUGCUGAAUGAUAUAAUGUAAAUGAUGGGAUAAAGCCACAUUUGAGUUAAUAGGUUCUUCUGUGUAUGGUUGUUUCCACAUGUUUGAGCACUAUCAGAUACAUCAAAAUGUCCACACCGAUGACAGGUGGGUGUCAAGAUUCAAUGAACAUCACUGUUGGAUACAUCUUGAUUUCCAAAAGUUAUAAUGUGAAAACCUUUUUUAGGGGAAAUGAAAUGCGGUGCUGUUAGUAUGAGACAAAGAUUGGAGAGGUAAAGACCUAUUGGCCCAGUCAGUGAUAGGGCUGAUGUCAGAACCAAGGUGAAUAGACUGUCAGGUCAAAUCUAUAAUGCCUGAUGCCAAUAUAUCCAAUCAGUAAAUGAAUUAAUUCAUCAAUCAGUUACUAUGGACUUGAUUGAAACUGUUAUAUUUAUAUUCAAGUCCUGUACUGUCAAAUUACAAGUGGAAUCUGGAGAACUAGACCUUGGACUUUAGUGUGGUGAUAAAGAGGGGAACAAAGGGUGGUAAGUUAAAUACAGCAUUUGAGACAUUAAGAAAUGAAGGCAAGAUCAAAACAACUGGGUACGCUAAAUAGGAUUUUGUGGAAGAAGGGAUACUGAAGGAUAUUUGCAAUUCUGUGUAUAGAUUUUAUUUGAAGCUAUGAAGAUUAUCAUAUUCACCCAAAAACUUUAUAGGUCAGCAGACUUCUAUUAGUAUUUUUAAGGAAACAUUGGUCAUAUCUGACAUAGGAAAAAAAAAUCAUAAGAUGAGACUCAUGUGAAUUCACCCCUGAGAAUUUAAAAGGGAGCCGUGGCAGCAAGAGAUGCAUGGACAGGAGUCCUGAGGCAAUGGCUGGUCUCAAGCUGCGGCAGAUUAUAUUACUGGCAUUAAUCAGGCCUCCGUAUCAGAUGCCUUCCUUGCACACUGCUUAAGGCCAUGAAGCUUUAUUUAGAAAAUGUAGAUUUGCAUUUAGUUGGUAGAUUUAUUUAUUUAUUAUUCAUUUCGAAUCCUUGUAAGUACAGGGACAUGGGCUGUUAGUAGAACUGGUUUUGCUAUUUUCGUGUGUACCUUUUAGCAGUGAUUUUUACAUGCACAUGUACAUAUAUGUAUGUACAUUUUAGUAGUAAAUAUACAUAUGCACACCAGGUAAUGAUAGAGCUGACAUUUGAACGUAGACUGGUCUGGAGCAAAAAUCAAUGCUUUCAUAUCCUAUGAAUACUGAUUUCAAUAAAUACAUAAAUUAUUAAUCAAUUGCUAUAUACACUUAUGUAAAGUUUUAUGAUUCUCAACAUUUUAAUAAAAACAUCUCUAGUCAUCUAUUCCCAUCUCCAUUCAUAUCUUUGGAUCCAGAAUCAAUUUAGACAAUUCCUAGAUAAAACAUUUUAAUAAUAUUUAUCAGGAAACCUUUGCAUCAUCAAGAGUAUUAUGAUGAAAAAAAUGUACCAUACAGGAUCUGUGUAAGACCUAUAGUAACAAGCAAUGCUGAAUGUAUUAUAAUGUGAAAAUUUGUUUUUAAAGAGUAUCAUUAGUUACUAUAAUCUGUACAUCACAGACACUAGAAUACAAAUUAAUAAAAACAAUGAUUUUAACCUAUCUGUUUAUGAAUAAAUUUACUGAAAUAUAAAGUAGCUAUCCAAUAAAUCACAAUUAUUUCCUUCAACCUGUAGCAGGUUACACUCACUCUGUUUUCUGUACUAUGGACACUGUCUAAAUCUGUUGUAAUUUAGAAGGCAGUUUAAUGAACAGACAGUACUGGCAAGUACUGGUUAACUUGAAGCAAAAUGAUAUUCAAUUCCAACUAUGCUUAAAGAGAAAAAAUGUACUUAACUAUACCUUUUUGAAGAAUUUAAAAUUUCUUGUUCUGCCCAAAUUGUCCAGGAAUCUAACAUUAUCAUUUACAAAUAAAAUCUGACACAAUCAUGAAUAAAGUUACUCUCUAAAAGUAAUGUGAUGGUGAUUUCCUGAAGAUUGCAUAGUGACCCUACCUUCCCUGUCAGGUAACUUGUUGAGGAAAAAGGCCACUUCCACCUUUUUUUUUUUUUUUAAGUCAACACAUCUUAAAACUGAGGAAAAUGUCACCACCAACCGAUUUAACAAUCAAAUCAUUUGGCAAAGGAAUUUUUCUAAUGCUCUUCAACUACACUCAGUAGCAAUGAAUAAUUUCUAGAGGUUCAAGAAACACCCGAACCUUUCAAUGUUAUCCUCACAUUAGACCCAAUUACAAACAUGGCGGGGGCAUGGGCGGGGGCUCUUCUUCAUCAGUUCAUAGUCCAUGGCCAAUAAAAAUCAAGAUACAGUGGGACAUACAUGCAGGACAAUGUGCAAGAAAGUACCAUCCUCCUGAUAAUAGGAAGUAAGAUGUCUAGAUAGUAAUGAAAGCACUUCUGUAGAAUCUAUUGAUAAGGAAAACUCAAACUGAGCACAAGAGCCUCUUCUUAGCUUAUUGAGGCAGAACAGAUGAGAUAGUGUAUAGAUUUGAGGUAUUUUAAUAUCUAGAUUUUAACUGAAAAUUUAUCCAUAUUAAUGGGCUCACCAUAGGAUUUCCACAUGUGCAUCCAGUGAGUGUUUGUCACGUCUAUGUAGCCUUCUUUCAUUUUUGCCCUCACCUCUUCUAGCAUCCUUUCCAUUCCUAUGUAAUUAUUAUUCUAAUUUGAGUUUUCAUUCAUUUUUUGGGUUGUUUCUACAUAUGAAAGAGAGCAUGUAAUAGUUGUUUUUCUUUGAGUUAGUAUUAUUCUUCCUGUAUAUUUAUUUGUAGAAAAUGGCAGGAUUUCAUUCUCCUUGCUGGUUAAAUAAUACUCUGUGUGUGUGUGUGUGUGUGUGUGUGUGUGUGUGUGUGUGUGUGUGUGUGUGUGUGUGUGUUUCUUCUGUGUAUCUCUUGAUGAACAUCAUGUCUGAUUCCAUAUCUGAGCUUUUGUGACGAGUGCUCCAGUAAACAUGGUUGUAUACACAAGUGCAUGAGAGAGCUAGAAUGUUGAGUGAUGCUAAAAUGCAGAGGGGAACAAAGCACACCAAGCUCAAAGACUAAGUGCA